CUUCAUAGUCCAUUUUAACACAAAAGCGUCAUGAAGCAUUUCUUUGUUUUUACGUUUCUCCUUUUGGUGAUUCAAUUUGAACGUCCAGUAUUUGGAAAAAAUAAUCAAGAAAUAAAUGCUGUUGUCGGAAAAAAAUUGGAUAUAAAUCCAACAAAAAUAAUUGGUGAUCUUGUUAAUUGUCAAGCAGUAUUUCAUGGAUCAAAAAAAGACAUAGUCUAUAAAAUUUAUCCAGAUCCAGAUAAAUAUGUAAGUCAUAUUGGUCGUUGGGAUGAUUCAUGUGGAUUUUCAUUAACUGAAUUUUCUGCUGAACUUUCUGGAAAAUGGACAAUAAAGACUUCCUACAAAUCAGCAGAAAUAUUAAAAGAUUUUGAAGAAACUUUUUUUGUUUAUGAAAAUCAGAACGUAAAAGCAUUGCCUGCGACAACUGUCUACGUUGAAGAAGAUCAAUAUGUCACUUUGUACAUAGAAGAAACAAAUAUAUCUCAAAAUAGCACUUGUAUACUUAAAAUGGUGGCAGAGGAAAUUGAAUAUGACUUAAAAAAUUUACCAAAUAACAAUUAUAAAAUCGAGCUUUAUGGUAAAUGUGGUGUUCGCAUGCUCAUUAUUGACAAUAAACAACAUGGUCAAUGGUCACUGUCAAGUGUAUCAGAUUAUAAAAAAUUAUUAGCAGAAUUUAAUAUAGAAGUUUCUAAUAAAAAUCAUCAUACUACUCAAAUAAAAGAGUAUUACGACCAAUGGAAUCAAGGUGCAAUCAAUGAAAAAUUACGACUAUUAUCAAGGUCUGACAGAAUUUAUUGUGAGGUGCAACGACCAGAUGGUUAUAUUAUAGUACUGAGUAUACCCGACUGUGUUUACAAUGUGGAUAUAGUUUCUACUGUUCAUGCAGGAGUUUGGAUUGCCCGAUACGGUCUAAAGCACAGUAUGGAACUUGUUGAGGAACACUACAAUAUUGAAGUUUGGGAUUCUCAAAGUAUAAAUGUCACUGUAAUUAAUGAUAAAACUGAAAAUGCAAUUAACAUGCUAUGUGAAGUAGGUGUAAAAGCACUUCGUCAAUGUAUGUUUAUAAAACCUGAUGGUACUAUUAAAAUAUUACCAGCUGCAGUUGGAAAUAACAAAUAUGAGUAUUAUGGUAUUGGUUAUGAAAAUAAUGCUAAUCGUAAAGCACAGUGUGGUCUCACAAUUCGUAAUCCACAUUCAAAUGAUUAUGGAGUAUGGAAAUGUUCAGUGAUGACUGAUAAUUACAAAACACUGACUGCACUUGUUAAUGUUAAUUUAUUGGCUAAUCAAAAAAGUUUUGACAAACGUUAUUUAAAGAUUUCAAAGGAACCUACUUAUGUCAAAUAUGGUGAUAAUUUUGAGUUAAAAUGCAGUGUUGAUACGCAAUUGGACUACUGUUGGAUGCUAAGUCCCAAUGGUACAAUUUAUUCAGUAACAAAAGAUAAAAAUUCUACAAAUUCUCUUCAAUACAGUGGCAAAGGUUUGUCUCUUGGUGUUUGUGGUGCAAUUGUUGAAAAUGCUGACAAAACACACCAAGGUGGUUGGAGUUGUCAUUUAGGUGUUAGUGGUUAUAGUGCAGAAAUUACAUCGAUAAUCCAAGUUACAGUCACAGAUUCUUAUCUAAUUCCAAGUGCUAAAAAUAUUGAUGGAUCAACACAACUUCUUUGUCGUUUGUUCCCAAAUACUGAAGCAGAAAUUGACUACUGUCGUUGGAUUAAUCCAUAUGGAAAUGGACUGUAUCAAAAUGACCUGACAAAAUAUAAUAUCAAACAAAACAAAAAUAAUUGCAGUCUUCAAUUUCAAUAUGGUGAUAUUAUCGACAUUGGUAAUUGGAAAUGCUAUGCUCGUUUGACUUCUGGUUCUGAUGAGGAAUAUUAUGCUGAUAUUUAUUACACUCCAUCGACAAGAUCAAGUUAUUUGUCAUAUCGAUCCUUCACUUUUAAUUUUCUUGUGUUAGGUCUUCUCUUUUCUUUUUGUGCUACUACUGCUCUAUUGUUUCACAAAACUAAGCAAUUUAAAAAUAUGCGCAAUCAAUUGCCCCUUAAAUUACCAACAUCAUACUCUCAAUCAUACAAUUUAUCCGAAAAAAAUAAUCCAGAAAAAAAAAAUAUUGAAUCAUAAAUUUUAUUACUAUCACACUUGAAAAUAUACUCGUUUAUUUCGAGAGCAAUUGAGUUAGCCGUUAUUAAUUAAAAUGACUUGCAUAUUAAAUUAAUAUGAAUUGCAUGCUGUUCAUAUUUUCAAGUAGUAUAAACAAUGAGUCUAAAAAUUAUGUUUUUAUAAAUGAAAAAAAAAAAAAAUCUACAUAAGCAUUAAUUUUUUAAAAGAGCUCAUACGUAUGAUUAAAAAGCUUAUCUAAGUGAAUGAAAAAAAACAAAACAAAAAAAACCGAGUAUUAAAUUUUUUAAAAAGAAAUGAUUUUUUUUUUUUUUUUAGAAAACAUUUCCCGCAGAAAAAAAGGUAAAUUAAUUACAUGAUAAAAAAUUUUUAAAAAAUAAUAAUAUUACUGUGGUGCACAAGUCUAGGUGAAAAUGAUUGCAUCUCUCUACUUUUAGAAUUAGUGAGAUAAAAAUUGCAUAUGCUGGCUAAUAUAUAAAAAUAAUUUUAUCUCUUAUAUAAGCAUGGAUUUCUUUUAUAAACAAAUAGUCCCUUGGCAAUUGUCAAUUUCUUUUUCCCCUAAUUUGAAACAUAUGAAUGAGACAUUUGAAAUAUGUAUCAAUGAGUUAUAAAAUAGUUCAAACUAGUUGUCUCGUUUUGUAUAAAUGGUUUACCCCAAUAGAAUUCGCAUUCUUCCCACGUUCAUUGCCAUUUGCCUCGACAGUCGACACACGCCAGACAUCACACAAAAUUCAAAAGACUCCACAAGAGCAUUGUAAAUAUAACUCUUCAAAUAAUAAUUCUAUAACAAUUCUCAUGGGUAUAUAUAAUGAGUGGCAUUAAUUAAAAAACAAUUUAUCAUUUUAUGCAAAUAAUUGUUGACUUGUUUGUCAGAUAAAUAUUAUAAAUAUAAUUAUUAAUUUUUUAUUUUCAAUAUUUUUAUUUUAUAUAUACCUAUAAAUUAAUUAAAUUUAUUUUUUAAUCUUUUAUCAGUUGAAGAAAACCAAUGGAUAUUCGAGAUUCAGUGAACCAUGGUUUAAAGGACAAAAUGAUUCAAAGAACACUAUACAUAGUACAAGAGAAGAAUGUUCUUCGUAUAAGUCUGUCUCUUUUACUGAUUACAAUGAAGAGUACGCGGUACCAUGUUAAAUCCCCAACUGAUAUCUUGAGCUUGGGUUAAUCCGGCGCCUAGAUUACUCGGCGUUGCGCUUAGAGUGGAAAGAGCUACAGGCACAACCGCACCAAGAUGUAUAUGUUGGACUUGUAUUGUGACAUGGACCAUAUUAGAAAUAGGAGGAAAAAAAAAGUCAAUUGAAAGUCUGGUGUUUGGAGCUUGGUCCAUCAAUAGCUGCUAUAUACAGUCGUUAGAUUGCAAGAGUAAAAGAGAAAAGAGACAAAAAACAUUAUUGUAUAGGGUUGUCGAGUGAAUGUUAAGGAAAACGACGAGAAGCCAUAUUCGUUGUGGUGUUACUACUCUUUUACCACUUUUUCUUUUUUUUUUCUUUAUAUAUAUUUUUCAGUCGCUUCUUCUUCUUCAUUGAGCUGAAUUCUAGUCUUUACUUUUUCAUCAACUUUUCUCUUUUUUUUUCAUCAAUUUUGCAUGAUCUUUACGUGAACAUAUACAUGCAUGGAUAUGUAUAUAGGUUUAUAAGCAAUUGAACAUUUGAAAUUUCAUUGUGAAAAGAAAUAUUAUACAAUCCUUGACCUGACUUUUAACAUCAAUA